GGUUCCAUAGUGUAGCAGUUAGCACGUCUGAUUUACAUGCAGAAGGUCCUGGGUUCACACCUCAGUGGAGCCA
rfam:Pteropus alecto contig162581, whole genome shotgun sequence.